rnacentral:lncRNA from 1 species
AAUUGCUUUCCCGGUUUCGGUGGCGGUGGCAUAUCAUCAAUAUUUACUUUAAUCUUCUUCUAGGUUGCUGCUGCCCACUAGCUAACCUUUUUCUUUAUCAGAAUACAAAUAAUAAAGCAAAAGGAUCGCGCAUGGUGGUGGGGUUACAAAACCUUAAAACCGCUCAAUCUUUAUGGCUUUUUUUAUAUUAUCGCAGGAUAACAAUUAAUAAUUAAAUUGAUCAUUAUUAUUUUGUCUUCUGAUUAAUUAUGUUAUAUCUCCGAAGCGUGGUGCGGCCGGCAAAAGGAAUCUCAUCAUCUUCCUUCUGAAUGCUACAUCAGUGGAGAUCAUUGGCUUUUGUUUUCAAUAAUCAUAGCUCAUGGGUAACGGGUAUCUCUUCCUCUUCUAUUUCAUUGGCCAUAUAUCCAUUUUGUACUCUUUUCUUUUAUUUAUUAUAUUUUAUUUUUUCAGCUUAUUAUGGCUUCCUAUUCUUCUUAAUUUCGUCAUCAAUCAUCAUCUGUAGUUCCAAAUACCAGCUGUCAUGGCCCAUGUAACACACUCAUAUGGCGAUCUUGAUCUUCCGUUUUCAAUGAGUUUUUAGUAAUGAGAAGGGGCUCCUUGAUGAUUCCAAAAUGGUCCCCCAAUGUCUUCUAGUUAUAAAUUGCUUGCUAAUCUUGUAAGUAUUUUGUUUGAUAUGAAUUAUGAAACUACCACUGCUUGCUCAUCCCAAUUGCGAUCAACAGAAUCUGGUCAAAACGAAGACCACUCAUCAACAGUCAGC